rnacentral:rRNA from 1 species
ACUCCUACGGGAGGCAGCAGUGAGGAAUAUUGGACAAUGGAGGCAACUCUGAUCCAGCCAUGCCGCGUGCAGGAAGACUGCCCUAUGGGUUGUAAACUGCUUUUAUACAGGAAGAAACACCUCUACGUGUAGAGAUUUGACGGUACUGUAAGAAUAAGGAUCGGCUAACUCCGUGCCAGCAGCCGCGGUAAUACGGAGGAUCCAAGCGUUAUCCGGAAUCAUUGGGUUUAAAGGUCGUAGUGGAUAUUAAGUCAGAGGUGAAAUCCUGCAGCUUAACUGUAGAAUUGCCUUUGAUAACUGGUUGUCUUGAGUUAUUAUGAAGUGGUUUAGAAUAUGUAGUGUAGCGGUG